rnacentral:rRNA from 1 species
GUGCCAGCCGCCGCGGUAAUACGUAGGUGGCAAGCGUUGUCCGGAUUUAUUGGGCGUAAAGCGAGCGCAGGCGGUUUCUUAAGUCUGAUGUGAAAGCCCCCGGCUCAACCGGGGAGGGUCAUUGGAAACUGGGAGACUUGAGUGCAGAAGAGGAGAGUGGAAUUCCAUGUGUAGCGGUGAAAUGCGUAGAUAUAUGGAGGAACACCAGUGGCGAAGGCGGCUCUCUGGUCUGUAACUGACGCUGAGGCUCGAAAGCGUGGGGAGCGAACAGGAUUAGAUACCCUGGUAGUCCACGCCGUAAACGAUGAGUGCUAAGUGUUGGAGGGUUUCCGCCCUUCAGUGCUGCAGCAAACGCAUUAAGCACUCCGCCUGGGGAGUACGACCGCAAGGUUGAAACUCAAAGGAAUUGACGGGGGCCCGCACAAGCGGUGGAGCAUGUGGUUUAAUUCGAAGCAACGCGAAGAACCUUACCAGGUCUUGACAUCCUUUGACCACUCUAGAGAUAGAGCUUCCCCUUCGGGGGCAAAGUGACAGGUGGUGCAUGGUUGUCGUCAGCUCGUGUCGUGAGAUGUUGGGUUAAGUCCCGCAACGAGCGCAACCCUUAUUGUUAGUUGCCAUCAUUUAGUUGGGCACUCUAGCGAGACUGCCGGUGACAAACCGGAGGAAGGUGGGGGAUGACGUCAAAUCAUCAUGCCCCUUAUG